rnacentral:misc_RNA from 2 species
UUGAGCAACGACGUCCUCCUUUGCAUGCCUCUUCAUUCAUCUACCCAAGAGCAUUGUUAGCCUGGGGAAGAUGCGGGUUUCCUGUGUUGCAUACCUUUCAAAAGGAAUUCUUAUGUUAUCAAUGCUUAACAUUCGCCUUACGCUGCCCAGUGUUAGGUGAAUCCCUAUGCGCUGUCUGUGYUCCCGGCGAGUCACAUUAUGUGUAUUUGCACGGGCCCAUGGAUUGCCGCAUGAGCUCUUGAAUACAGAAUACCAAGACGGUACGAGGUCGUUGACCUCUAUGUGCCCGAAUUAAAGCGUCAAUCGCUACUACCGAACGACUGCUGUCGUUGUAUCGAGAUGGCAGACUCAUCGGGUCUUCUGUCCUCGUGCGACGCUGGCGUCUGUGAGGAAUGCUA